rnacentral:rRNA from 1 species
ACCUCCUUUAAACAAACCGUUAUAAAAUGGCGGCAUUUCAUUUUAUUAGAGGAACAUGUUAGUUAAUCGAUUCCACACGACAAUUUUCACUUAGUUCAAAAUUUUAUAUACCACCAUUAGACAAAUUUAUAUAAAUAUAUUUUUUUAAAAAAAGUCUAAAAAAUUAGGUAAAGGUGUAAACAACAACUAAGAAAAAAUGUGUUACAUUAAAUUAAAUUUAAGAAUAACUAACAAAAAUUAAAUUUGAAAGAGGAUCCAAAAGUAAUAUUAAUUCAAUUACUUAAUAUGAAUAAAUAAAAAAAUGUGCACACAUCGCCG